rnacentral:rRNA from 1 species
GUACACUCCUGCGGGAGGCAGCAGUGGGGAAUUUUGGACAAUGGGCGAAAGCCUGAUCCAGCAAUGCCGCGUGAGUGAAGAAGGCCUUCGGGUUGUAAAGCUCUUUUGUCAGGGAAGAAACGGUGAAAGCUAAUAUCUUUUGCUAAUGACGGUACCUGAAGAAUAAGCACCGGCUAACUACGUGCCAGCAGCCGCGGUAAUACGUAGGGUGCAAGCGUUAAUCGGAAUUACUGGGCGUAAAGCGUGCGCAGGCGGUUUUGUAAGUCUGAUGUGAAAUCCCCGGGCUCAACCUGGGAAUUGCAUUGGAGACUGCAAGGCUAGAAUCUGGCAGAGGGGGGUAGAAUUCCACGUGUAGCAGUGAAAUGCGUAGAUAUGUGGAGGAACACCGAUGGCGAAGGCAGCCCCCUGGGUCAAGAUUGACGCUCAUGCACGAAAGCGUGGGGAGCAAACAGGAUUAGAUACCCUUGUAGUCCCAUGA